AUCAGAAGAGCAAAACCCAUAAAACGUCUGUACAAUCAAACAGUCAUUCAACAAUUUGCACAUAAUAGAACCUCCCUGUUUAGCCACAUGGUUUUUUAACUGUCCAAGUAGCAUAGCUUAUUCUGAAACAGUUUGCUGCUUAGGAGAAAACAAUCAAGCUCGCACAAACGACUGCCAAAGUGAAACUCGGCAAGAUAAACACAACUGGUGUCUUCCUGCAUUGUAAUUACAAUCAAUGAUACUAAGACGAACUAGCAGCAGGGGCGAAACUAGGCAUCCGACCCGAACUGAACUCUGUACCUGUAGAGCGAGCAACGAAACGGAGAAGUGGGCGCGGGAUCUGGUGAUCUGACCUGGGGCGCGAACAUCCGCGGCAAGAGGGAGCGGCCGGGACUCCCGGGCGGCGUCGACUUCCCCGGGCGCGGCGGCAUCCUCCUCCCUGCCGCUGGCGUUGCCCAUGGCCUCCUUCCCUCCUCCUCCUCCUACCCCCGCCCCCGCGGCGGCGAAAUCACGGAAGUGCCACUCACUGCGUUGUGGCGCUGCUGUUGCGCGAGGGGGCAAGGAAGACGAGCGAGAAGGAAAGGGAGGGAUAGCUGCGCCCGUUUGG
rnacentral:lncRNA from 1 species